GAUUCUCUUUCCUCUGAACACUAGAGAGGCCAUGUCAAAGCUAGACCCUGGGAGUCCAAGCACCUCUGCAAAUCCACUUCUCACAAACAUGAUAAUUAUGAUGGAGCCCAUCUCACAGCUGUGUGUUCCAACAGCAGGCUUAUACCCCUGGCGUUUUCAACAACAUGGCCUAAGGCACAGCCUUAUAGGCUUUCUAGAAGAAAAACUUCUUUGGGAGCCCUUUCCUGCUCACUUACCAGCCUUGUGAUUGAUGAAGAUAAAGAUUAUACGAGAUAAUAUAUGCAAAAUACUGUGAAAACUACUAGGGCAAGUAUAAGGAAUUAUCAUCUAAUUUAGCUGGCUACAGAUACCCAAUGGUUCAUCCAGAAGUUUGUUCCAGCUAACAGCAGUUGUGCCUCUUUCAUGAGACUUAUCAUCCUUUGCUGGACUAGACUAGACUUAUUUGGAACAUGGAGACCUAAGAGUUUCAAGACUGAAAGCAAAUGAUUAGGACAUUUCCCUAAGGUCUAACCCCAGAAGUCAUAUAGCUUUGCUGUGCUGUAUUCUUUUGGCCAAAGAAAAUCACAAGGUCAGGCCAGGUUCAAGGGAAAGGGAAAAUAUGCUCCAGCUUGUGAUGGCAGAUUUGGAAAUAAUCACAUACAAAUAAAAUAAAAAUUAAAACAUGGUCAAGAAAUUCCUCUCUGGCCAAGACCAGACAUACAACUCAGGAGGAAUCAAGGUCUAGGCCUCGCAUUUUAUUUUAAGAUCUUAUUUCAGCUUGGUGCAGUGGCUCACGCCUGUAAUCCAAGCACUUUGGGAGGCCGAGGUGGGUGGAUCACCUGGGGUCAGGAGUUCGAGACCAGCCUGGCCAACAUGGUGAAACCCUGUCUCUAUUAAAAAUACAAAAAAUUAGCUAGGCAUGGUGGUGGGCACCUGUAAUCCCAGCUACUCAGGAAGCUGAGGCAGAAGAAUUGCUUGAACCCAGGAGGUGGAGGUUGCAGUGAGUCUAGAUCGUGCCACUGCAGUCCAGCCUGGGCAACAGAGUGAGACUCUGCCUCAAAAACGCAACAAAACAAAAACUUAUUUUGUCUUCUGAUUCUCGUAUCUACAAACACCUGGACUACAAGCCCUCUCCACCACUCCUUCCAGAAAUCCCAAAGUCCUAGAUUAGCAUUUUUUAUGCCUUACCCAGGAAUAUUUUUUAAUGUAAGUU